rfam:Trichobilharzia regenti genome assembly, scaffold: TRE_scaffold0033623
AUCCAGCUGACGAGUCCCAAAUAGGACGAAAUGCGCAUCUUACUGGAU